AAGAGCAAACCGGGGGAACUGAAACAUCUAAGUACCCCGAGGAGAAGAAAUCAACCGAGAUUCCGGUAGUAGCGGCGAGCGAACCUGGAUUAGCCCUUAAGCACUCGUUGAAGUAGGUGAACAAGCUGGAAAGCUUGGCGAUACAGGGUGAUAGCCCCGUAACCGACGCUUCAUCGAGCGUGAAAUCGAGUAGGGCGGGACACGUGAUAUCCUGUCUGAAUAUGGGGGGACCAUCCUCCAAGGCUAAAUACUCCUGACUGACCGAUAGUGAACCAGUACCGUGAGGGAAAGGCGAAAAGAACCCCUGUGAGGGGAGUGAAAUAGAACCUGAAACCGUGUACGUACAAGCAGUAGGAGCACCUUCGUGGUGUGACUGCGUACCUUUUGUAUAAUGGGUCAGCGACUUAUAUUCAGUGGCAAGGUUAACCGUAUAGGGGAGCCGUAGCGAAAGCGAGUCUUAACUGGGCGCUCAGUCUCUGGAUAUAGACCCGAAACCGGGUGAUCUAGCCAUGGGCAGGUUGAAGGUUGAGUAACAUCAACUGGAGGACCGAACCGACUAAUGUUGAAAAAUUAGCGGAUGACUUGUGGCUAGGGGUGAAAGGCCAAUCAAACUCGGAGAUAGCUGGUUCUCCCCGAAAGCUAUUUAGGUAGCGCCUCGGACGAAUACUACUGGGGGUAGAGCACUGUUAAGGCUAGGGGGUCAUCCCGACUUACCAACCCUUUGCAAACUCCGAAUACCAGUAAGUACUAUCCGGGAGACACACGGCGGGUGCUAACGUCCGUCGUGGAGAGGGAAACAACCCAGACCGCCAGCUAAGGUCCCAAAGUAUUGCUAAGUGGGAAACGAUGUGGGAAGGCUCAGACAGCUAGGAUGUUGGCUUAGAAGCAGCCAUCAUUUAAAGAAAGCGUAAUAGCUCACUAGUCGAGUCGGCCUGCGCGGAAGAUGUAACGGGGCUAAGCAAUACACCGAAGCUGCGGCAAUGUCUUUUAGACAUUGGGUAGGGGAGCGUUCUGUAAGCCGUUGAAGGUGGUCUGUAAGGGCUGCUGGAGGUAUCAGAAGUGCGAAUGCUGACAUGAGUAACGACAAAGGGGGUGAAAAACCUCCUCGCCGGAAGACCAAGGGUUCCUGUCCAACGUUAAUCGGGGCAGGGUGAGUCGACCCCUAAGGUGAGGCCGAAAGGCGUAAUCGAUGGGAAACGGGUUAAUAUUCCCGUACUUCUGACUAUUGCGAUGGGGGGACGGAGAAGGCUAGGUGGGCCAGGCGACGGUUGUCCUGGUUCAAGUGCGUAGGCUUAAGAGUUAGGUAAAUCCGGCUCUUUUUAAGGCUGAGACACGACGUCGAGCUGCUACGGCAGUGAAGUCAUUGAUGCCAUGCUUCCAGGAAAAGCCUCUAAGCUUCA
rnacentral:rRNA from 2 species